GCAGGCGUAUCGAAGCGGUCAUAACGGGACUGACUCGAAAUCAGUUGAACUCGAAAGAGUUCCGUGGGUUCGAAUCCCACCGCCUGCGCCA
rnacentral:tRNA from 1 species